UACGUAGGGUGCGAGCGUUGUCCGGAAUUAUUGGGCGUAAAGAGCUUGUAGGCGGUUUGUCGCGUCUGCUGUGAAAAUCUGGGGCUCAACCCCGGACUUGCAGUGGGUACGGGCAGACUAGAGUGUGGUAGGGGAGACUGGAAUUCCUGGUGUAGCGGUGAAAUGCGCAGAUAUCAGGAGGAACACCGGUGGCCGAAGGCGGGUCUCUGGGCCGGAACUGACGC
rnacentral:rRNA from 1 species